rnacentral:rRNA from 1 species
AUUGAACGCUGGCGGCAGGCCUAACACAUGCAAGUCGAGCGGAGCGGCGGAGGGGUGCGUAAGGCCUAUGAAUCUGCCUGGUGGUGGGGGAUAACGUUAGGUAACGGGCGCUAAUACCGCAUACUAUCAGAUGAGCAUAGGUCGGAUUAGCUAGUUGGUGGGGUAAAGGCCUACGAGUGCGACGAUCCGUAACUGGCCCGAGAGGAUGAUCAGUCACACUUGAACUGAGACACGGUCCAUACUCCUACGGGAGGCAGCAGUGGGGAAUAUUGCACAAUGGGGGCAAGCCUGAUGCAGCCAUGCCGCGUGUAUGAAGAAGGCCUUCGGGUUGUAAAGUACUUUCAGCGGGGAGGCGUUACCCGCAGAAGAAGCACCGGCUAACUCCGUGCCAGCAGCCGCGGUAAUAC